rnacentral:rRNA from 1 species
UACGGAGGGUGCAAACGUUGCUCGGAAUCAUUGGGCGUAAAGCGCACGUAGGCGGUCCGGUAUGUCGGGAGUGAAAUCCCUCGGCUCAACCGAGGAAGUGCUUUCGAAACUACCGAACUUGAGUAUGGAAGAGGGUCGCGGAAUUCCCGGUGUAGAGGUGAAAUUCGUAGAUAUCGGGAGGAACACCAGUGGCGAAGGCGGCGACCUGGGCCAAUACUGACGCUGAGGUGCGAAAGCGUGGGGAGCAAACAGG